rnacentral:rRNA from 1 species
GAUGAACGCUGGCGGCGUGCCUAAUACAUGCAAGUCGAGCGAACAGAUAAGGAGCUUGCUCCUUUGACGUUAGCGGCGGACGGGUGAGUAACACGUGGGUAACCUACCUAUAAGACUGGAAUAACUCCGGGAAACCGGGGCUAAUGCCGGAUAACAUUUAGAACCGCAUGGUUCUAAAGUGAAUGAUGGUUUUGCUAUCACUUAUAGUUGGACCCGCGCCGUAUUAGCUAGUUGGUAAGGUAACGGCUUACCAAGGCAACGAUACGUAGCCGACCUGAGAGGGUGAUCGGCCACACUGGAACUGAGACACGGUCCAGACUCCUACGGGAGGCAGCAGUAGGGAAUCUUCCGCAAUGGGCGAAAGCCUGACGGAGCAACGCCGCGUGAGUGAUGAAGGGUUUCGGCUCGUAAAACUCUGUUAUUAGGGAAGAACAAACGUGUAAGUAACUGUGCACGUCUUGACGGUACCUAAUCAGAAAGCCACGGCUAACUACGUGCCAGCCGCCCCGUAACAC